rnacentral:tRNA from 10 species
UGCCGGGAUAGCUCAGUUG